rnacentral:lncRNA from 1 species
AAAUAUAAUCUGUUUCCCGGCCGUUAUUGAAAUUCUUGACAAUACCGUCCGGUAUGGGCUAAUUUUACUAUUUGAAAUGAACGAUCUCGAGCAUGCGCAGUUACGCAUUGUUGUUCCUCUUUGCCGCUUCGAAGAUGGUAGUGGGUUACAGAAAGCCACGAUACAGGUGAGUGGAGUAAUUUCAAGUUGCCCAAAUUGAAAGUAAGAUAGCCAAAACUCACCCGAUUCGUGUGGUAUAAUUUUUUUGAACAAUUAUUAAUCGCCCACUAAUGGGCAAGCUUUUGAAGUGGCCGCUAGGCCCUUCUUUUUGUGUCAAACUCGCAACUUUAGCCCAAAAAUUUGUUAAAAACAACUUUGCAAGCUUUCUAAGUAAAAUAUAAACAUGCUGCUCGUUUUUUUGUCGGCAUUGACGAAAAAAUCAGUAAUUUCCUCUAUUUUCACAAAGAAAGAUUUGUACAAGUUGUGUUUUUAUGAUGUGAAACCUGGGGCAGGGGGCUCAAAAAGGCGUACACAGAAGCAGAAGCAGUGAUCACUGGUGAUCCUCAAAACAUGUCUACAACUCAAAGACCUGGGUUUAUAGUGGACCCGGAUUCGUUAUGUUAUGGUAGACCCCCUCCAAAAAAAGGGGGGUGUCAUAUUUAUAUAGAGGCAUACACAGCUACAUCAAGUGAAAUUUUGGAAAGAAGUACAAAUGUACAACUCUUAGAUAAAAUUAAAGUUAAACAUAUUGAUAAAUUUAGUAAAGGUUCUCAGGCUGUCUGUAUCCAAUGACGCUUGUUGUUAGUCCAAAUAAUUAUGAGGUAUUGAAAGGCUUUUAUAUUUUUUUUUGCUUUGAAGCCUUUCAGCAAUGUAUCACAAACUUUGUGUGACCCUCAAAAUGUCAGACAAUAAAUCAUUUGGUCAUACAAACCCUAAAACAGUGGGGCACAUAUUAAUGCUUUCAGCACGGCCACCAGAAAUUUCCACAUUUUUCCUUCAUAAGACCCUCAAAAAUUAUUUUACUAAAUUUGUAUCUAUUUUUUAUGUACCAGACUCAGACAUUGGGCUUGUGACUCAAGGCAGACUUAUGUAUACCUUUCGAACAUGUACAUUGUUUGUAAUUGUUUACAUUUUUCUGUCAGUUAAAUUUUUGGCCUUUUUAAUUCAAUGUAAUUUAUCUUUGUAAAAACAACAUGUGGUAUGACAGCCAAUGAGACAUAACUCAAUAAAGUGUACAAUCAUAUGCGAUUCCAGGGGGGCGGUCCUGUGGGUCCAGGCCCCCUUUCGUGAGAAAAAUUUGGUUGAUUAUAUAGGGAAUCACUGAAGCAUGACUGGAGUGGGCCCCCCUUAUGAAAAGUUCUGGAUCCGCCACUGACAAUAAUACAUGUAUAUAUACAGAAAUAGACCUCAACUUUCACAAUUUAAUAUGAUUUAAACAUAGAAAAUAUUAUGCAUUUAAAGCUUGUCAAAAACAGAGGCAGAGUUGGAGGGUUUUUCAGGUGGCCAGGCCAUUCCUUAUUUCCUUAUGCUUGGAAAAAUAUAGGGAGUCACUGAAGCAUGACCUGAACAGCCCCUCUUGGGCAGUCAGUGAACCCCCCCCCCCUUUCCUCUUUUCUGAAUUUUUUUGGAAAUGCCACUGAAAAUUAUAUAAAACAAACACUGAAACAGUAUUUAGAAAAAUUGUCAGUGUCUGUUUACAUGUAGAUGUGCACAUUGGUUUUCAACCCUAAAAAUUAGUUGAAAAGGCUCAACUCAUCAGAUGAUCAUCAUGUAUGUUUCAGUAAUAUUCAUACAUCAUGUACAUUGUACUUGCAAACUUUUCAAAAAUUUUAGUGAGCUUGCAUUUGUAAAGUGUAUCAAGCAAAUUUCAUCUUUUCACUGCUUGAUUCGCCGUGUAAAAAAAAAAUCUGUAGUGAGAAUCCUGAUAAUGGUCAUCCUCCUCUAACAAUGUUUAUUGUCGCAAGUGUUUUAAUCUAAUAGUACUAACUAUAUUGUUUAAGCUUAAACAUCCUUUUAAAUCAUUUGAAUAUCUGUUUUAAAUAUAUCAUUGUUUAUAUAAUAGAGUAUGAAAAUUCAGGUCAACAAAUCUCAUGAGGGAAUUUGAAAGAAAGCAGGUCUUGAAAUGUGUUUAUAUUCCAUAGAUCUAAAACUUGCUUUGAUUAAAAGACUAUUUAUUGACCUCACUUUGAAUUUGUUUUAUCUGAAUUUUUUAAAUCAAUGUUUAUAGUUGAAUUGUCUUUCAGAAAUGGUCUACCAGUAUUUGACACGAGAGGGCCUAGGUACAGUAGGACUAGCUUUCUUACAUGUAUGUCAGAGGGAUGACCCUAGUAAAAAGGUCUGACAUUCCAUACCUGAUAAUGAAAGAAAACACCAGAAACUAUUUACUGAGGUGAUUUUAAAUAAACUAAAUGGGAUUUCAUAUAUGAACAUAAUUAGUCCCUGGUUCAUAAAUAUUGUACAGUAUAUUUAAAGUACAAUAAAAUUAAAUCACUUAGUCUAGUGUUUUAUUUAUACUACUAGUAACUUUUAAAAUUGGUGAUUAUUAAAGAAAGACAACUCUUACUUCCAACAUUUCUGGACAAAAUGUUACUUGAAUCAGUGAUUUAAGAUCACCCAUUUCAGUCUAACUGAUAUAUAAAAGUAUGUACAAGUAUUUAUAUACAUGUAUAAACUUGUAAGGUUAAAAAAAUAAGCUAGUUUUUCGAUUUUACCUGUAUAAGAAUGAUUUUUUUGUGGAUCGAAUCAGUCAAUCUAAUGAUUUACCUUUAUUUCACUUUCAAUGUUGACAUUCUUUUCUUAUAACAAUUAUAACUGAUUAAUAGCAUAACACACAUCAACCAUGUAUAAUCCAUUUCUAGCUAAGGGUUUAAUUGAAGAUCACAUGAAUAGGGAUUCAAUGAGGUUGAAUUAUUCAGCUUAAUCACAAGUCAGAAAUAUGAAAUUUUACCUCUGCCAAAUGAUAAAUCACAAGUCAGCAUUUUUUUUUUUAAUUGCUGCAUUAAAAAUAUCAGAAAAUACCAUGCAAUAUAACAAGAAGAGAUAUAUACAAAAUGUAUAAAAACUAGAAGGGGAUUUUUUUCCAUGCCACAUUAAUGGACAUGAUGUAUGCAUAAUUUUUUGUUUUACAUACAUUGUACAUCAACAUUUAUUAUAUACAUGUACAAUAAUAUGUACUUUUUUCUUUCAGGAACAAUGAUAAACAAGUGAACUGAUGGUUUAAAACUACCAAGAUGUGAAGUAAUGUAACGUGAAGUCAGACAAUACAACUUGAGGUGUCAGAAUUUGUGCAAAAUUUUGUUAUUUGCAGAUAUAUGGAUGGAUUUUGUCAAAAUAUGAACUGAAACACUGGGAUAAAAUUAUGUUAUUUUUUUCGUAGAAAAGAUCCGGUUGUG